rnacentral:rRNA from 1 species
GUGCCAGCAGCUGCGGUUAUACAAAGAAUACAAGUAAAUUAUAUUGGACAAGAGUUAAAUAAUUAUUUAUUUAAUAAAUAGUAAUUUUUUAGGUGAAAUUUUAAUUUACUUAAAUUAAUAAAUUUAGAAUUAUUGAAGCUUAGAAAUUUUUGUUAUAAACUAGGAUUAGAUACCCUAUUAUAAAAAUUGUAUAAUUGAGAUGUCAGAGUAGUAUUAGUUAAGGUCUUGAAACUCAAAAAAUUUGGCGGUAUUUUAGUCUAUUUAGAGGAACCUGUAGUAUAAUCGAUAAUCCACGAUGGACCUCACUUAAUUUUGUUUUUCAGUUUGUAUACCGCUGUUAUUUGAAGAUUUUAUAAGAAUAUUAAUUUUCAGGAUUUUUAAUUAAAAAAUAUAUCAGGUCAAGGUGCAGCUUAUGAUUAAGAAUUUAUGGGUUACAAUAAAAUUAUUUAUACGAAUAAAAAUAUGAAAUUAUUUUUUGAAGGUGGAUUUAAUAGUAAAUUUUUAAAGAUAAAAGAAUUGAUUUUAGCUCUAA